rnacentral:misc_RNA from 1 species
GAUGAAGAACGUAGCGAAAUGCGAUAAGUAGUGUGAAUUGCAGAAUUCCGUGAAUCAUCGAAUCUUUGAACGCACAUUGCGCCUUCUGGUAUUCCGGAAGGCAUGCCUGUUCGAGAGUCAUUGACAACCGUUUCGAUCCCUUUCUUUCAGAAAUUACAAAGAGGAAAAGGGUUUGGUUAUGGUGGAGGAGGGAAAGGGAGCGUUUAGCCUGUAAAAAAAGAGGCUGUGUUCCGCCUCCCCCCCAAAAUUGUACAGGCGGUCGUGUGCGCCCACGCAUCGAGGUGUUGUAAAAGCUGCCACGGCACUUUUCACCUGUGCAGUGCGAGAUUGGCCAGCCGGUUUAAAAACCCCUCCAAACAAUCAAAGGUUGACCUCGGAUCAGGUAGGGAUACCCGCUGAACUUAAGCAUAUCAAUAAGCGGAGGA